GACGAACGCUGGCGGUGUGCUUAACACAUGCAAGUCGAACGGAAAGGCCCUGCUUUUGUGGGGUGCUCGAGUGGCGAACGGGUGAGUAACACGUGAGUAACCUGCCCUUGACUUUGGGAUAACUUCAGGAAACUGGGGCUAAUACCGGAUAGGAGCUCCUGCUGCAUGGUGGGGGUUGGAAAGUUUCGGCGGUUGGGGAUGGACUUGCGGCUUAUCAGCUUGUUGGUGGGGUAGUGGCUUACCAAGGCUUUGACGGGUAGCCGGCCUGAGAGGGUGACCGGCCACAUUGGGACUGAGAUACGGCCCAGACUCCUACGGGAGGCAGCAGUGGGGAAUAUUGCACAAUGGGCGGAAGCCUGAUGCAGCAACGCCGCGUGCGGGAUGACGGACUUCGGGUUGUAAACCGCUUUCGCCUGUGACGAAGCGUGAGUGACGGUAAUGGGUAAAGAAGCACCGGCUAACUACGUGCCAGCAGCCGCCGUAA
rnacentral:rRNA from 1 species